GGCCCAUCGCAUCCUGGGGCUGGAGCAGGUCCCAAGGGUUCGGCUGUUCGCCGAUUAAAGCGGUACGCGAGCUGGGUUUAAAACGUCGUGAGACAGUUUGGUCCCUAUCUGCCGUGGGCGAAGGAUACUUGAGAGGAGCUGACCAUAGUACGAGAGGACCUGGUUGGACGGACCGCUAGUGAGCCAGUUGUCACGCCAGUGGCACCGCUGGGUAGCUAUGUCCGGAACGGAUAACCGCUGAAAGCAUCUAAGCGGGAAGCCGGCCUCAAGACUAGGUGUCCCGGCCCGCAAGGGCCCUAAAGACCCCUCGUAGACGACGAGGUUGAUAGGCCGGGUGUGGAAGCGCAGUAAUGCGUUGAGCUAACCGGUACUAAUUGCUCGUGAGGCUUGACCCUAUAACUUUG
rnacentral:rRNA from 1 species